UAAUACGUGCGAAGCCGCCGAACGCCGCGGAGGCGACGGCGUUCUCGCCGGAUGUAGGAACCGACCCGGGGGACCGCCCGGGGGCAACCCGGCGCCCCCGAGACGGGGCGAACCACGGUGAAAAUGACGGAUCGUCGGCCCCGCGCCGGCGACUCGCCGAAUGAGUUUCUGACCUAUCAACUCGAGACGGCGGGGUAGAGGCCCGCCGCGGUAACGACGGGUAACGGGGAAUCAGGGUUCGAUUCCGGAGAGGGAGCCCGAGAAACGGCUACCACUUCCAAGGAAGGCAGCAGGCGCGCAACUUACCCUAAUCUCGAUUCGAGGAGGUAGUGACAAGAAAUACCGAUGCGGGACCCUACGGGUGCCGCGUUCGGAAUGAGUACGAUUCGAACCACCUAACGAGGAACGAUCGGAGGGCAAGUCUGGUGCCAGCAGCCGCGGUAAUUCCAGCUCCAAUAGCGUACGUUAAAGUUGCUGC
rnacentral:rRNA from 1 species